rnacentral:misc_RNA from 1 species
GAUGAAGAACGUAGCGAAAUGCGAAAAGUAAUGUGAAUUGCAGAAUUCAGUGAACCAUCGAAUCUUUGAACGCACAUUGCGCCCGCUGGAACUCCGGCGGGCACGCCUGUCCGAGCGUCAUUUCAACCCUCAGGCCUCCCUUCGCGGGCGGGCCUGGUGUUGGGGCCCGGCCGCUACCCUGCGGCCGUCCCCUAAAUCCAGUGGCGGCCUCGCCGUGAUCCCUUGCGUAGUAAUGCACCUCGCACCGGAGAGCGCCGUGGCCACGCCGUAAAACCCCCAAUUUUCAAUGGUUGACCUCGGAUCAGGUGGGAAUACCCGCUGAACUUAAGCAUAUCAAUAAGCGGAGGA